rnacentral:rRNA from 1 species
UGCCCUAGUAACGGCGAGUGAAGCGGCAACAGCUCAAAUUUGAAAGCUAGCCUUCGGGUUCGCAUUGUAAUUUGUAGAGGAUGAUUUGGGGAAGCCGCCUGUCUAAGUUCCUUGGAACAGGACGUCAUAGAGGGUGAGAAUCCCGUAUGUGACAGGAAAUGGCACCCUAUGUAAAUCUCCUUCGACGAGUCGAGUUGUUUGGGAAUGCAGCUCUAAAUGGGAGGUAAAUUUCUUCUAAAGCUAAAUAUUGGCGAGAGACCGAUAGCGCACAAGUAGAGUGAUCGAAAGAUGAAAAGCACUUUGGAAAGAGAGUUAAAAAGCACGUGAAAUUGUUGAAAGGGAAGCGCUUGCAAUCAGACUUGUUUAAACUGUUCGGCCGGUCUUCUGACCGGUUUACUCAGUUUGGACAGGCCAGCAUCAGUUUCGGCGGCCGGAUAAAGGCUCUGGGAAUGUGGCCUCCACUUCGGUGGAGGUGUUAUAGCCCAGGGUGUAAUACGGCCAGCCGGGACUGAGGUCCGCGCUUCGGCUAGGAUGCUGGCGUAA